rnacentral:tRNA from 1 species
GCGCCCAUAGCUCAAUUGGAUAGAGCGGUGGAGUCCUAAUCCGCAGGCUGCAGGUUCAACUCCUGCUGGGCGCACC